ACUGGAGUUUGAUCCUGGCUCAGAUUGAACGCUGGCGGCAUGCUUUACACAUGCAAGUCGAACGGUAACAGGUUAAGCUGACGAGUGGCGAACGGGUGAGUAAUGCAUCGGAACGUGCCCGAUCGUGGGGGAUAACGCAGCGAAAGCUGCGCUAAUACCGCAUACGAUCUGAGGAUGAAAGCGGGGGUACCGUAAGGCCUCGCGCGAUCGGAGCGGCCGAUGUCAGAUUAGGUAGUU
rnacentral:rRNA from 1 species